rnacentral:rRNA from 1 species
GAACUGGAGAGUUUGAUCCUGGCUCAGAACGAACGCUGGCGGCGUGCCUAAGACAUGCAAGUCGUACGGUAAGGCCCCCUUCGGGGGGCACACGAGUGGCGCACGGGUGAGUAACGCGUGGGUAAUCUGCCUUCGGGUUUGGGACAACCCCGGGAAACUGGGGCUAAUACCGGAUAAGACCACAACGUCUCUGGACGAUGCGGCAAAAGGUGGCCUCUGCUUGCAAGCUACCGCCUGGAGAUGAGCCUGCGUCCCAUUAGCUUGUUGGUGAGGUAACGGCUCACCAAGGCGAUGAUGGGUAGCUGGUCU